rnacentral:rRNA from 1 species
AGUGAACGCUAGCGGUGCGCCUAACACGUGCAAGUCGAGUGUGCUCGCAAGAGUAACACGGCAGACGGCUGCGUAACACGUUGGUACCUGCCCCGAACUCAGGGAUAACCCGCCGAAAGGCGGGCUAAUACCGGAUAGUCCCGAAAGGGUAAAGAUUUUUCGGUUCGGGAGGGGCCUGCGGCCUAUCAGAUAGUUGGUGAGGUAACGGCUCACCAAGGCGACGAUCGAUAGGUGGUCUGAGAGGAUGAUCACCCAGACUGGGACUGAGACACGGCCCAGACUCCUACGGGAGGCAGCAGUCGGGAAUUUUGCUCAAUGGGCGAAAGCCUGAAGCAGCAACGCCGCGUGAGGGAUGAAGGCCUUCGGGUUGUAAACCUCUUUUCUCAGGGACGAUAAUGACGGUACCUGAGGAAUAAGCCACGGCUAACUACGUGCCAGCCGCCGCAGUAA